rnacentral:rRNA from 1 species
AUUGAACGCUGGCGGCAUGCCUUACACAUGCAAGUCGAACGGCAGCACGGGAGCAAUCCUGGUGGCGAGUGGCGAACGGGUGAGUAAUAUAUCGGAACGUGCCCGGUCGUGGGGGAUAACGUAGCGAAAGCUACGCUAAUACCGCAUACGAUCUACGGAUGAAAGCGGGGGGAUCGCAAGACCUCGCGCGAUUGGAGCGGCCGAUAUCAGAUUAGGUAGUUGGUGAGGUAAAGGCUCACCAAGCCGACGAUCUGUAGCUGGUCUGAGAGGACGACCAGCCACACUGGGACUGAGACACGGCCCAGACUCCUACGGGAGGCAGCAGUGGGGAAUUUUGGACAAUGGGCGCAAGCCUGAUCCAGCAAUGCCGCGUGCA